GUGUACGGGGUCGGUAUUGCGG
rnacentral:miRNA from 1 species